UCCUACGGGAGGCAGCAGUGGGGAAUCUUGCGCAAUGGGCGAAAGCCUGACGCAGCCAUGCCGCGUGAAUGAUGAAGGUCUUAGGAUUGUAAAAUUCUUUCACCGGGGACGAUAAUGACGGUACCCGGAGAAGAAGCCCCGGCUAACUUCGUGCCAGCAGCCGCGGUAAUACGAAGGGGGCUAGCGUUGCUCGGAAUUACUGGGCGUAAAGGGAGCGUAGGCGGACAUUUAAGUCAGGGGUGAAAUCCCGGGGCUCAACCUCGGAAUUGCCUUUGAUACUGGGUGUCUUGAGUAUGAGAGAGGUGUGUGGAACUCCGAGUGUAGAGGUGAAAUUCGUAGAUAUUCGGAAGAACACCAGUGGCGAAGGCGACACACUGGCUCAUUACUGACGCUGAGGCUCGAAAGCGUGGGGAGCAAACAGGAUUAGAUACCCUGGUAGUCCACGCCGUAAACGAUGAUUGCUAGUUGUCGGGAUGCAUGCAUUUCGGUGACGCAGCUAACGCAUUAAGCAAUCCGCCUGGGGAGUACGGUCGCAAGAUUAAAACUCAAAGGAAUUGACGGA
rnacentral:rRNA from 1 species